rnacentral:lncRNA from 1 species
CGAUCAAAUAUAAGACAGAUGAGCUGCUGGGCAUGCUCUGAACAUGUUUUUUUCCUUGGGAACAUACUAUCAUAUUGCCUAAAGAACUAGCCGCCACUGGGGCAACUAUAGUUAUGUAAUGACCAACUGGAUACCAUUAGCAGGGAUAUCUCGUGACCGUGUCGUUAGACCUUGCCCAGCAUGGGGUUAGAGAGCACGUCGACCAAAAAGAAAAAUAAGCUAGCUCAUGGGGAAAGGGAGAUAAAUCAAAUUAAGGUAAAUUAGAAGGGAGAAUUUGCACCAAAUCAUCUUAUUUUAGACUCGGGGUGAUAUAUAUUCAAGGUGGUUUUUGCAAUUUUUUGCAUUAAAUAGAGACUUGUC